CCUACGGGCGGCUGCAGUGGGGAAUAUUGGACAAUGGGGGCAACCCUGAUCCAGCCAUGCCGCGUGUGUGAAGAAGGCCCUCGGGUUGUAAAGCACUUUCAGUGAGGAAGAACGCCUGGUGGUUAAUACCCAUCAGGAAAGACAUCACUCACAGAAGAAGCACCGGCUAACUCCGUGCCAGCAGCCGCGGUAAUACGGAGGGUGCGAGCGUUAAUCGGAAUUACUGGGCGUAAAGCGCGCGUAGGUGGCUUGAUAAGCCGGUUGUGAAAGCCCCGGGCUCAACCUGGGAACGGCAUCCGGAACUGUCAAGCUAGAGUGCAGGAGAGGAAGGUAGAAUUCCCGGUGUAGGGGUGAAAUGCGUAGAGAUCGGGAGGAAUACCAGUGGCGAAGGCGGCCUUCUGGACUGACACUGACACUGAGGUGCGAAAGCGUGGGUAGCAAACAGGAUUAGAUACCCGAGUAGUC
rnacentral:rRNA from 1 species